rnacentral:misc_RNA from 1 species
CCACAUCAGAUAAUUUAAAGGGAGUUGUCGUUCUCCUCCUCUGAUUCAUGUGAAAUGGAUUUUCAGGCCCCAGACUAACUUUCAAUGGUCUGUCAUUCAAGAAAAGCUCACAGCGCCCUGCAGCAUCUUUAGCCCAGGUAGUUGAUUCAGGUGAGGCAAAAUGCACAAAUGCAUGAGGCUCUAUCCUACUAUACCUCUCUGUUCUUUGGAAGUCUGCAGUGUUAGAUGCCUCAAAAUAUGGAUAGGACUCUGGGGGGGUCCAAGAGGUCUUCAGUCUACACCGCCAAACAAGUCCAAUCUUAUUUUCCAAAUACGCCACAAGAUCUUUUGCCUUGACAUGAAUGUCAAAUCCACCAAUACUAACUUGAGUUACCACUGUAUCCUUCUCACUUUUCUCUGUCUCCAUUCCUAUGCUGGAGAUACUAGCAAGCAGCUUGAAGAGGAGGGGUAUUGCGUGGGUUCUGCAGGUGUCGAAGAGGAGGAGCGAGCUGGUGGAGAUGCUUUCCACAUGUGCUUAUGCGAGAGAGCUGGAAUGUCGACACUUCACAAGACAACGAGAAUUAGGCCUUUGUGGGUAUGGCAUCUGUGUUGAGUGUUGGUAUGAUCGGAGUGGGUCUAUGGCUGUCUGAACAGUGGAGCUUUCAGUGGAAUUGAAUACUUGCUGAUGAAGGGUGAGUAAAAGGAGGAGAGCGAAAGGUAAUGGUUUUCUGCUAUGUCGUUUUGGGGAUAACUUCAAAUGAUUUUUCUUUUUUUCUUUUUUUCUUUUUUUUCACUC